rnacentral:rRNA from 1 species
UGUUGGUGGGGUAAUGGCCUACCAAGGCGACGACGGGUAGCCGGCUGAGAGGGCGACCGGCCACACUGGGACUGAGACACGGCCCAGACUCCUACGGGAGGCAGCAGUGGGGAAUAUUGCACAAUGGGGGAAACCCUGAUGCAGCGACGCAGCGUGCGGGAUGACGGCCUUCGGGUUGUAAACCGCUUUCAGCAGGGAAGAAGCGAAAGUGACGGUACCUGCAGAAGAAGUACCGGCUAACUACGUGCCAGCAGCCGCGGUAAUACGUAGGGUACGAGCGUUGUCCGGAAUUAUUGGGCGUAAAGAGCUCGUAGGUGGUUGGUCACGUCUGCUGUGGAAACGCCACGCUUAACGUUGCGCGGGCAGUGGGUACGGGCUGACUAGAGUGCAGUAGGGGAGUCUGGAAUUCCUGGUGUAGCGGUGAAAUGCGCAGAUAUCAGGAGGAACACCGGUGGCGAAGGCGGGACUCUGGGCUGUAACUGACACUGAGGAGCGAAAGCAUGGGGAGCGAACAGGAUUAGAUACCCUGGUAGUCCAUGCCGUAAACGUUGGGCACUAGGUGUGGGGGACAUUCCACGUUCUCCGCGCCGUAGCUAACGCAUUAAGUGCCCCGCCUGGGGAGUACGGUCGCAAGGCUAAAACUCAAAGGAAUUGACGGGGGCCCGCACAAGCGGCGGAGCAUGCGGAUUAAUUCGAUGCAACGCGAAGAACCUUACCAAGGCUUGACAUACACCGGACCGGGCUGGAAACAGUCUUUCCCUUUUUGGGCUGGUGUACAGGUGGUGCAUGGUU